GUUUUUUUCAUUUGGACUGCCAUACUGGAAAGGAUCUUGACUGCGGAUGCCUUGCUCCGACGAGGCUGGGAAAAUAAUUACUUAUGUCCGCUAUGUGAGAGGAACCUCGAGACGCCUUUCCACCUUCUAGUUGACUGCCCUUGGUCCAGACUAAGCUGGGACGCGAUCGCUUCCCGAACAGGCCUACUUUUGCUAAAGCCGUUGUCCUGGAGCUUCAACAUCAACCAAUGGAUGAGCAGCUGUUUCCGAGAUGCGGCAACGGGCAAGCAAAAAGGAACACUGUCACUAAUGCACCUGAUGGCCUGGGAAAUUUGGCGCGAGCGUAACAGACGGCUUUUCAAGAUG
rnacentral:rRNA from 1 species